rnacentral:rRNA from 1 species
GACGAACGCUGGCGGCGUGCCUAAUACAUGCAAGUAGAACGCACAGUUUAUACCGUAGCUUGCUACACCAUAGACUGUGAGUUGCGAACGGGUGAGUAACGCGUAGGUAACCUGCCUGGUAGCGGGGGAUAACUAUUGGAAACGAUAGCUAAUACCGCAUAAUAUUAAUUAUUGCAUGAUAAUUAAUUGAAAGGUGCAAUUGCACCACUACCAGAUGGACCUGCGUUGUAUUAGCUAGUAGGUGAGGUAACGGCUCACCUAGGCGACGAUACAUAGCCGACCUGAGAGGGUGAUCGGCCACACUGGGCCGGAGCCACGGCCCAGACUCCUACGGGAGGCAGCAGUAGGGAAUCUUCGGCAAUGGACGAAAGUCUGACCGAGCAACGCCGCGUGAGUGAAGAAGGUUUUCGGAUCGUAAAGCUCUGUUGUAAGAGAAGAACGGGUGUGAGAGUGGAAAGUUCACACUGUGACGGUAUCUUACCAGAAAGGGACGGCUAACUACGUG